rnacentral:rRNA from 1 species
UGGUUAAGUGAAUAAGGGCGUACGGUGAAUGCCUUGGCACUAGGAGCCGAUGAAGGACGGGACGAACACCGAUAUGCUUCGGGGAGCUGUAAGUAAGCUUUGAUCCGGAGAUUUCCGAAUGGGGGAACCUCAUUGUUUUUAUCGACAAUGGUCCACUCAGUGAACACAUAGCUGAGUGGAAGGUAGACGUGGUGAACUGAAACAUCUCAGUAGCCACAGGAAGAGAAAGAAAAAUCGAUUUCCCGAGUAGCGGCGAGCGAAACGGAAAGAGGCCAAACCAGCGUGCUUGCAUGCUGGGGUUGUAGGACUGAUGGACGGGAGUGAAUGAGCUAGUCGAACGCCAUGGAAAGGGCGAUCAGAGAGGGUGACAAUCCCGUAGGCGAAAGCUCAGCCACCUCAUUCAGUAUCCUGAGUACGGCGGUACACGUGAAAUUCCGUCGGAAUCCGCCAGGACCAUCUGGCAAGCCUAAAUACUCCCUAGUGACCGAUAGUGAACCAGUACCGUGAGGGAAAGGUGAAAAGCACCCCGGAAGGGGAGUGAAAGAGUACCUGAAACCGUAUGCCUACAAGCAGUCAGAGCCCGUUAAGGGGUGAUGGCGUACUUUUUGUAGAACGGACCGGCGAGUGACGAUAGCAAGCAAGGUUAAGCUGAAGAAGCGGAGCCACAGCGAAAGCGAGUCUGAAGAGGGCGUUGAGUUUGUUGUCGUCGACCCGAAACCAAGUGAUCUACUCAUGUCCAGGCUGAAGGUGUGGUAAAACACACUGGAGGGCCGAACCCACGUCUGUUGAAAAAGGCGGGGAUGAGGUGUGGGUAGCGGUGAAAUUCCAAUCGAACUUGGAGAUAGCUGGUUCUCUCCGAAAUAGCUUUAGGGCUAGCCUCGGAUGAUGACUAUUGGAGGUAGAGCACUGUUUGAUCGAGGGGUCCAUCCUGGAUUACCGACAUCUGAUAAACUCCGAAUGCCAAAUAGUUUAGUCCGGGAGUCAGACUGCGAGUGAUAAGAUCCGUAGUCGAAAGGGAAAGAGCCCAGACCACCAGCUAAGGUCCCAAAGUUUCAGUUAAGUGGAAAAGGAUGUGGGGUUGCUUAGACAACUAGGAUGUUGGCUUAGAAGCAGCCAUCAUUGAAAGAGUGCGUAAUAGCUCACUAGUCGAGUGACCCUGCGCCGAAAAUGUACCGGGGCUAAACUGAACACCGAAGCUGUGGAUCCAUAGGAUGGUAGGAGAGCGUUCUAUAGGCAGAGAAGCAUGAUCGUGAGGACAUGUGGAGCGUAUAGAAGUGAGAAUGCCGGUAUGAGUAGCGAAAGACGGGUGAGAAUCCCGUCCACCGAAUGACUAAGGUUUCCUGGGGAAGGCUCGUCCUCCCAGGGUUAGUCGGGACCUAAGCCGAGACCGAAAGGGAUAGGCGAUGGACAACAGGUUGAGAUUCCUGUACUUGUUUGAUUUGUUUGAGCGAUGGAAGGACACAGAAGGCUAAGCGGAGCGCGGAGAUGGAAAAACGCGUCCAAGCAAUAAGUGAGAAGGUGAGUGAAAGGCUUGCCUCAGACUUCAUGAGUUGUGACGGGGAGGGAAAUUUAGUACCGAAGCCGCCGACGUCACGCUGUCAAGAAAAGUUUCUAGUGAGAAUCAAACAACCCGUACCGCAAACCGACACAGGUAGUCGAGUGGAGAACACUAAGGUGAGCGAGCGAACUCUCGUUAAGGAACUCGGCAAAAUGACCCCGUAACUUCGGGAGAAGGGGUGCUGACCGCAAGGUCAGCCGCAGUGAAUAGGCCCAAGCGACUGUUUAUCAAAAACAUAGGUCUCUGCCAAAUCGAAAGAUGAUGUAUAGAGGCUGACGCCUGCCCGGUGCUGGAAGGUUAAGAGGAAGGGUUAGCGUAAGCGAAGCUCUGAAUUGAAGCCCCAGUAAACGGCGGCCGUAACUAUAACGGUCCUAAGGUAGCGAAAUUCCUUGUCAGGUAAGUUCUGACCCGCACGAAAGGCGUAACGAUUUGGGCACUGUCUCAACGAGAGGCUCGGUGAAAUUGUAGUACCAGUGAAGAUGCUGGUUACCCGCGACAGGACGGAAAGACCCCAUGGAGCUUUACUGUAGGUUGAUAUUGAAUGUUUGUGCCACAUGUACAGGAUAGGUAGGAGCCAUCGAAGUCGGGACGCUAGUCUCGAUGGAGGCACUGGUGGGAUACUACCCUUGUGGGAUGACCAUUCUAACCCGCGACCAUUAGCUGGUCGGGAGACAGUGUCAGUCAGGCAGUUUGACUGGGGCGGUCGCCUCCUAAAGUGUAACGGAGGCGCCCAAAGGUUCCCUCAGAAUGGUUGGAAAUCAUUCGCAGAGUGUAAAGGCAGAAGGGAGCUUGACUGCGAGACCUACAAGUCGAGCAGGGACGAAAGUCGGGCUUAGUGAUCCGGUGGUUCCGCAUGGAAGGGCCAUCGCUCAACGGAUAAAAGCUACCCUGGGGAUAACAGGCUUAUCUCCCCCAAGAGUUCACAUCGACGGGGAGGUUUGGCACCUCGAUGUCGGCUCAUCGCAUCCUGGGGCUGAAGUCGGUCCCAAGGGUUGGGCUGUUCGCCCAUUAAAGCGGUACGCGAGCUGGGUUCAGAACGUCGUGAGACAGUUCGGUCCCUAUCCGUCGCGGGCGUUGGAAAUUUGAGAGGAGCUGUCCUUAGUACGAGAGGACCGGGAUGGACACACCGCUGGUGUACCAGUUGUUCCACCAGGAGCAUGGCUGGGUAGCUAUGUGUGGACGGGAUAAGCGCUGAAAGCAUCUAAGCGUGAAGCCCCCCUCAAGAUGAGAUUUCCCAUACUUUUAAAGUAGUAAGACCCCUGAAAGACGAUCAGGUUGAUAGGUUUGGAGUGGAAGCUUAGCAAUAAGUGGAGCGGACAAAUACUAAUCGGUCGAGGACUUAUCCAAA